AGGCAAUGGAUUUUUUUAACACUUCUGAAGCGUGAGCAAACUAAUUUCCUGUCUUGUAUUUUGUAGGUACUGGUCCUGGUGAGCCUAAUGGUGGCAGAAGGGAGAACUGUGGCAUGCUUUGGACGCAGUUACGAGACCAGGAAUUAAAACUUGUGUGCUACAGGGCUACCCUGGAUCUAUGACUGAGCAACUACAGUGCUGGACAUCACUGGAGCGAGGAGGAGAGCCAUUGGCAACACAUUCGAGGCAACAGAAAAGUAAAUUAAUGGUCCAAAAGGGAAAUGUGAAAGGAAAUGGAGGAUGAAUUUGUUUGUGGCUCUUCCAGAUAACCUUGUUUUCUUCCUGGUAUGACAGCCUCCUGGUUCAUUGAAAUGACGUGGAAACAUUUAUACAACCAGUUGGUGCCCAGUUGGUAUCACAUAUAGUAAGCCCCAGACUGACUGGACGGCUCUCAAGUUGAGACGGUGGUAGACCAUGGAGAUGUCUGGGGACAUUGUUUAUGCCAAUGAAGAUGUUAGAGGAAAACAAAGUGUUUCAGGGGACCACUUUUAUAAUAGACAAUAUCUAUGAAGACAUUUAUGAAACUCCAGACACCAUCAAGUUUGAAUUCAGAAACAUGACUGUGGAUGUUACCCCAAGGAGCAGACCAAGAGCUGAACUCUCAGAGUCUGAGCAAACCAAGAGACUUUUACGAGCUUCUACACUGUGUCUGGGGCUGCUGGGUGUUCUCCUACUGGCUGGGAUCAUAGGACUGUACCUCUACUAUGACAGCGCAUUUUACAACCUGACUGAGAGGGGCCAGUUACAGACCAGUUACAACAAUCUGACUGAAGCAGGAGACCUGUUACAGGCCAGCUACAACAAUCUGAUUGCAGAAAGAGACCAGUUACAGAGGGAGAGAGACCUGUUACAGGCCAGUUACAACAAUCUGAUUGCAGAAAGAGACCAGUUACAGAGGGAGAGAGACCUGUUGGUUCGGAAUUUGACUUCUGAGAGAAACAGUUGUCCUGAUGGAUGGAGGAAGUUUGACUGCAGCUGUUACUUCCUCUCCAUUGAGUCUAAAACCUGGGAGGAGAGCAGACAGGACUGUCUGAAUAGAGGAGGAAACCUGGUGAUCAUCCAAAGCAGAGAGGAACAGGAAAUGCUCUAUUACCAUUAAAACAGGACUACAUUAAAACAUUUAUGGUGAUGUCCUGGAUUGGUCUGACUGAUGAAGAUAGUGAGGGGAACUGGACAUGGGUGGACAACACACAGCUGACUACAGAAGAGUACUGGAAUUUUGAUGAACCUAAUGGUGGAAGAGAGGAGAACUGUGGAAUGAUUUGGUGGAAUUAUGAUGCCUGGAAAGACGCCUCGUGCUUUGAAAGGCGACCCUGGAUAUGUGAGAAAUAUGCACAUUUGUAGGUUCUAAAAGAACCUAGUAAAAUUUACGGAUUAGUAAAACUUUAACCAAGUUUAUUCACCCAUUGGGUCAUACAAUUGCGUAAGACAUCAAUGGUGGUAUAUAUAUAUACCCCAAUUUGGCUGACGUCCUCCUCUCUAAACAUAACUUCCAGCCUAGCAAAAAAUAUGUAAAGUGAUACGGGUAAUAAACUAUUACUUCUCCUUUAACAUGACCUGACCUUCACUAAUCCACAGCUCGCCACCAUUAUCAGUCACUGCAAUCAUGUAAUAGCCUCUCCUCUACUCAGGACCUCCCAAAUCCCCUAUCCAACCUUCAUUGACCCAACCAUAUACAUUCCUCCUACAGAUACCCAUUAACUUCUGGUGUAUAAACCAGAUUAUGGCACUCCUCAUGUCUCUAGCAUAACUGAUGACUAACAAUAUUUAAAGUUUUGAAAUCCAAACCCAUCAAUAUGUUUAAGAGACGCAGCUCAUAUAAUCUAUGCAUGCAUACACGGCACACACAGCCUACCUAAGUGAUCUAGUUGAACCGCUCUACUCAGCAACUUCACCAUGUUUUUUGGCCAGUCUGUAAAUGACAGAUGUCUCUGAGCUCAUUCACAACAAUCAUGUCACUCUCUAUCAAACCUGCUGUCUCCCUUCCACCACAUCCUGAACAGUGAAGUCAUCAUUACUUAAACUGAGCUGACCAAGGACUGUACACACUGACACUGCAAUUGAGAAAAGUUUGUUGACAUUGUUAGCCAUAGAGUAGUUGUUUUUUUAUUUUGCGUUAUCAGUUUAUGUUUUGGUUGCUAUUGAGGCAGCUUGUCACGUCCUGGCCAGUAUAAGGGUUAAUUGUCAUUGUAGUUUGGUCAGGACGUGGCAGAGGGUAUUUGUUUUGUGGUUCGGGGUGGUGUUUUGGUAAAAGGGCGUUUGAUUUCCGUGUUUUUGGUUUAUGUAUUUCUAUGUGGAGUCUAGUGAGUGUGUUUCUAUGGUUGAUUAAUUGGGGUUGGGACUCAAUUGAAGGCAGGUGUUUUCUCUUUGCCUUUGAUUGAGAGUCCCAUAUAUUAGGGUGUGUUUGUCAUUUGUGGGAGAUUGUUUCUUGUCUAGCGUAUGUGAGCCUGAGAAGACUGGCUAUAUCGUGAGUUCGUUUUUGUAUGUUCAUUUUGAGUCUAAUAAAUGUUCAAGAUGAGCCAACACAAUUCUGCUGCAUAUUGGUCCUCCUUUUCCGACGAUGAUUUCGCCAUAUCGUCUGACGACGACAAUCCCUGACACAGCUUUUAUCACAUGUGAUUAUGUAUUUCUUGACCUGCCUUGUGAUUUACUUUAAUGCUGUUUUUUAGUCUUGUGCUAAUAAAAGGAAAUGCAUGAAUACA